rnacentral:tRNA from 1 species
GCUCCGGUAGUAUAGCCCGGUCAAGCCCUGUCAUCUACUAGGGCACCGAGAGUAUGCAGGCCUUUCGAGCCUGUGACCCGGGUUCAAAUCCCGGCCGGAGCA